GACGAACGCUGGCGGCGUGCCUAAUACAUGCAAGUAGAGCGCACAGUUUAUACCUUCGCUUGCUACACCAUAGACUGUGAGUUGCGAACGGGUGAGUAACGCGUAGGUAACCUGCCUGGUAGCGGGGGAUAACUAUUGGAAACGAUGGCUAAUACCGCAUAAUAUUAAUUAUUGCAUGAUAAUUAAUUGAACGGUGCAAUUGCACCACUACCAGCUGGACCUGCGUUGUAUUAGCUAGUAGGUGAGGUAACGGCUCACCUAGGCGACGAUACAUAGCCGACCUGAGAGGGUGAUCGGCCACACUGGGACUGAGACACGGCCCAGAAUCCUACGGGAGGCAGCAGGAGGGAAUCUUCGGAAAUGGACGAAAGGCUGAACGAGCAACGCCGCGGGAGUGAAGAAGGGUGUCGGAUCGUAAAGCUCUGUUGUAAGAGAAGAAAGGGUGUGAGAGUGGAAAGUUCACACUGUGACGGUAUCUUAACAGAAAGGGACGGCUAACUACGUG
rnacentral:rRNA from 1 species